UAUUUUGCUGGCCUACAAAUCUGAGCUGGUUUAUGGGACCUGCAGCCUUGUACUCAAGCUUCAGAAAAAGCAUCUGUUAGCAUCAAACCCGUUGGUAGGGGGCCGAACAGCUGGUUAUCUUGAUAUUGCUGAAAUAAAAAAUCGCUCUAAUACGGUAUAACUAUCCCUAAGAUCAAGAUUCAGAGAACCAUUCGGAAGAAUCUCAAUCCUCUUUUCAAGGUAAAUAAAAUGGGCAUCCAUGAUGCGUUGUGCUACCUACCACUACCAUCCGCUUGAAUUGAUACUGGACCCUGAACUUCUUGUGUUCCAAGUUUCUAAUCCUCUGCGUGCCCAAUAAUUAUUUUUGUGAUCCUGUAAGACUUAGCACGCAAGUGACCAAGCAAGUUACGCUUCGCAUUUGGAAAUCAAGGCUAUGCUGAUGUACGGAACAGGCCGUGCUUAUACUGCAGAACAGCAUCCAUAUCCUGACUUUAUGCAUACCAGGCCUGGAAAAAUGCCUACUACAAGACGGCUAAAUUGACUAGUGCGAAGCUCAGUUGACAGUAGAGCACAACGACCCAAACAUCAUUCUUGUGCUCGUCAAAGCUGAAGGAGUCAAGAUUCAAGGCGCACAUUGUUUUUCGAGUUUCCCCCCCUUGUUCCUUGCUGCCGUACAUGGGUACAUGUGAUGUUAUCCAAGUGUGGAAUUUCUUUUUCUUUUUGAUGCCACGGUAUGUGUGAUGUAGCGGCUGAAGUACCAAACGGCAUGCGGACUUUUCUUUUUCCCUCCAUCAUGAAUUGUAAUGGCAGAUUUGAAAACUAUAAAAUUUUGUAAUGGCGCUGAUCUAAUUAAACCAUUUAAGUAGAAUCUCAUUUUGCA